AAUUUUGCACUCCCACCCCUCUAAAUUUUUCAGCCGCCACUCUCUUCCUCCUUCUCCCUCGCGCAGGUCUGCUCCAGCCGACGCCCUGUCUUCUUCCUCACGGUGGUCAGCAGGGAGCUCGGCCAGCAGCCAUGGCCUCCUCCACUUCUUCCCCAUGGAAGCCGGCUCCUUCUCCAUGCUCCCUCCCUAGCCGAGCACCUCCAGCAGCCAUGGCCGAGCUUCUUUUCUCCCCUGCUGUCCCCUGCGCGCAGGGAGCACCAAGGCCAGCGUCCCCUUCUCCCUGGUUUCCCUUGCGCAGUGGCAGAAGAAUCCAUGGACGUCGCCUCCCCAUGCUCCUAUGCGUGCAGGGAGCUGCGCCCUUUUCUUCUCGACAGCGCUCGGCUCCCUCCUCCCUGCGCAUUCCCUGCCCCACUGCCAGCAGGAGGCCAGCGGCCCUCAUCCUCCAGCUCCCGCCAUGGUCGAGCUCAGCAGCGCAGGGCGCGCCCUAUUUCCUUGCUCCAUGGCCGGCGCCCAACAGCAGUCCUGCGCAGCGCCGCUGCUCCAUCCCCUCCACAGCGCAGGCCCUCUUCCUCCCCACACAGCCAGCGUCGGGGACAUUCUUCCCCAUGGAGGCCGAGCCCCUCUCCCAACCAGCGCCCUCCCUGUUCCCCUGGACGACGCUGUCCUUUCCCAUGCCGCUGCUCCACCACGCGCACUACCUGCUUGACAGAAUGUCCGAUCUAUGCACAGCCCUUCUUCCUCCUCUCCCAUGGUGCUGCUCGUCGAGCCCUCCAUUUUUUUGGAUGCCGGCAAGAAAAAUCGGCGCAGCAGCCCUCCAGUUCAUUCUCCACUUCCCCGUCGCGAGUCAUCGCUCUCGCGCUUGCUGCGCAGCGAACAGCACGUCGGGGUGCCCGCCGGGUGUUUGCUGUUUUUUUGCGCAGCCCCGUGGUCGUCGUCGUUCACCCCGAACCCCGUAUUUUGCGAGGAGAAGGCAAGUCGUUCAACGCUCGUCGAUGGCGAAGCUAUGCACAAAUCGGAAUCACCGUCGUCCUUACAAACGCCGUUUGAGUUUGUUUAUGGACCGAGAGAUGAUGAUCGGGCUAGUGAUGUGGUGCCAACCACAAGAUGCAGUCGGUGGACGACCCAAGGAAGGAUGGACUUAACCAGUGGAUGCUCGCCAAGCGAGUACCUCCCCCAGCAAACACUACUUAAGUGUUAAAUUAAAGGUACUCCUUAGGAUGAUUGGUUGCUGGUGUGACUUGGCCUUCAUCCCUGCCACCGGGAUAUAUGGUCGAGAGGGUUAUUGCUUCCGCAGGAGAGGACCAGGAGGAGUAGCGUGGCCAGGCUUCGCCAUGUUACUCGGUUUUCUCCGUUAGUUAUUUCCGCUGCAUUAAAAUUUAUGGUUAUCAUUUCUGAAACUCCGAUAAUGUAAUCACUAAUUAUACGUAUUAAAUUUGUGGUAUUAUGUUUUAUUGU